CACUGGGACAAUAGUGAGUGGUGCACACUUCCUUCGCCCGGCCACAGAAGACAAAAAAGAGUUGCUGGUGUAACAAUAGGAAGAAUAUAUUCCACUCCUCUCUUGUACACGCGGCUUAUGAGACGUCUGUGAAGAACAUCUUCUCUCUGAGCAACAGAAGUGGAGCUUCAGGAUGGGCAAGGAGGAGCCACAGCCCUUCCACAUUAAGGAGGAAGAGAAGGCGCCACAUACAUUGCAAAUGCAAAGGGAAGAAAAUAACCCACUGACCCCGCAUUUUAAAGAGGAAGAGGAGGAACACAGCAUCAGUCAAGAAUGGUUGGAGAAGUUCCAUUUGAUUGUGAAGAGUGAAGAUGAUGAGGUGAAAGGUGAAAGUGAGGAGAGGGGAGGGGGGGGAGCCUCCAAGCAGCAGCUCAACACAACACAUGACAACAGAAGCUGAUGGAGACCACUGUGGAGGAUCACAAGCAGACAAGCUCUUAGCUCCACUAUCAGAUAGUGAGGACACAACGUCACACUCUCCUGACACUGAUGAUGAAGACUCUAAAGAUGAUAAGACAUGUCACACUGACAACACUCACUUCGCAUGUUCUCACUGUCACAAAACUUUUAAGUACCAUUGUCAUCUGAAAAGACACAUGAGAACACACACUGGAGAAAAACCUUUUUCAUGUUCAAUCUGUCGUAAAUGUUUUACUUUAAAGCACAAUUUCAAAGUACACAUGAGAAUACAUACUGGAGAACAACCUUUUUCCUGCUCAGUAUGUGGUAAAAGAUUUGUAUUAAAUCAAAGUUUAAAACUACACAUGACAACACACACUGGAGAAAAACCUUUUUCAUGUUCAAUUUGCGGUAAAGAUUUUACUCAAAAGCACAAUUUUAAAGCACACAUGAGAACACACACUGGAGAAAAACCUUUUACAUGUUCAAUCUGCGGUAAAGAUUUUACUCAAAGGUACCAAUUCAAAGCGCACAUGAGAAUACACACGGGAGAGAAACCUUUUUCCUGCUCAGAAUGUGGUAAAAGUUAUGUCAUAAAUCGAAGUUUAAAAGUACACAUGAGAACACACACAGGUGAGAAAGUGUUGAGUUGCAGUGUGUGUGGUGAAAGAUUGUCUUCUAAGUACCAGUGUAAGAAACACAAGUGUGCUGGUGAGAACAGCAGCAGCAAAUGAAACUGCAGGAUUUGAAAUAAACUGUAAAAACUUUAAGUUUAAGUAACAUCAGCACAAGUAACAUGUGUGACAUAAUAAUUUGGAACAACAUAUGCUGCCAUUUAAGCGCCAUCUUUUUCAUGGGCACCCCUGUUUAUUUCAGCAAGACAAUGCCAAGCCACAUUCAACAUAUGUUACAACAGCGUGGCUUCGUAAAACAAAGAGUGCGGGUACUUUCCUGGCCUGCCUGCAGUCCAGACCUGUCUCCCAUGGAAAAUGUGUGGCGCAUUAUGAAGCGUAAAAUACAACAGCGGAGACCCUGGACUGUUGAACGACUCAAACUCUACAUAAAACAAGAAUGGGAAAGAUUUCCACUUUCAAAGCUUCAACAAUUAGUUUCCUCAGUUCCUUAACUUUUAUUGAGUGUUGUUAAAAGAAAAGGUGAUGUAACACAGUGGUGAACAUGCCCUUUCCCAACUACUUUGGCACGUGUUGCAGCCAUGAAAUUUUAAGUUAAUUAUCUUAAAAAAAAUAAUAAAAAUUAUGAGUUUGAACAUCAAAUAUCUUGUCUUUGUAGUGCAUUCAAUUGAAUAUGGGUUGAAAAUGAUUUGCAAAUCAUUGUAUUCUGUUUUUAUUUACCUCUAACACAAUUUCCCAACUCAUAUGGAAACAGGGUUUGUAUGUCCCUGGACCUUUAUGCAAUAAACAAUGUAUGAUUCAAAUACAAUUGGGUACAAUAAAUGUAGUUAAUAUUU